rnacentral:rRNA from 1 species
CGGCGAGUGAAGCGGCAACAGCUCAAAUUUGAAAUCNGGGCUCUUUCAGAGUCCGAGUUGUAAUUUGCAGAGGGCGCUUUGGUGUUGGCAGCGGUCCAAGUUCCUUGGAACAGGACGUCACAGAGGGUGAGAAUCCCGUACGUGGUCGCUAGCCUUCGCCGUGUAAAGCCCCUUCGACGAGUCGAGUUGUUUGGGAAUGCAGCUCUAAAUGGGAGGUAAAUUUCUUCUAAAGCUAAAUACUGGCCAGAGACCGAUAGCGCACAAGUAGAGUGAUCGAAAGAUGAAAAGCACUUUGGAAAGAGAGUCAAAUAGCACGUGAAAUUGUUGAAAGGGAAGCGCUUGCAGCCAGACUUGCCUGUAGUUGCUUAUCCGGACUUUUGUCCGGUGCACUCUUCUGCGGGCAGGCCAGCAUCAGUUUGGGCGGUUGGAUAAAGGUCUCUGUCAUGUACCUCUCUUCGGGGAGAACUUAUAGGGGAGACGACAUGCAACCAGCCUGGACUGAGGUCCGCGCAUCUGCUAGGAUGCUGGCGUAAUGGCUGUAAGCGGCCCGUCUUGAAACACGGACCAAGGAGUCUAACAUCUAUGCGAGUGUUUGGGUGUCAAGCCCAGACGCGUAAUGAAAGUGAACGGAGGUGGGAACCCUUUGGGUGCACCAUCGACCGAUCCUGAUGUCUUCGGAUGGAUUUGAGUAAGAGCAUGGCUGUUGGGACCCGAAAGAUGGUGAACUAUGCUUGAAUAGGGUGAAGCCAGAGGAAACUCUGGUGGAGGCUCGCAGCGGUUCUGACGUGCAAAUCGAUCGUCAAAUUUGGGCAUAGGGGCGAAAGACUAAU